rnacentral:rRNA from 2 species
CUUGCUAUCUGCUGACGAGCGGCGGACGGGUGAGUAAUGCUUGGGAAUAUGCCUUUUGGUGGGGGACAACAGUUGGAAACGACUGCUAAUACCGCAUAACGUCUACGGACCAAAGUGGGGGACCUUCGGGCCUCACGCCAAGAGAUUAGCCCAAGUGGGAUUAGCUAGUUGGUGAGGUAAUGGCUCACCAAGGCAACGAUCCCUAGCUGGUUUGAGAGGAUGAUCAGCCACACUGGAACUGAGACACGGUCCAGACUCCUACGGGAGGCAGCAGUGGGGAAUAUUGCACAAUGGGCGCAAGCCUGAUGCAGCCAUGCCGCGUGUGUGAAGAAGGCCUUCGGGUUGUAAAGCACUUUCAGUCAGGAGGAAAGGUUAGUAGUUAAUAGCUGCUAGCUGUGACGUUACUGACAGAAGAAGCACCGGCUAACUCCGUGCCAGCAGCCGCGGUAAUACGGAGGGUGCGAGCGUUAAUCGGAAUUACUGGGCGUAAAGCGUACGCAGGCGGUUUGUUAAGCGAGAUGUGAAAGCCCCGGGCUCAACCUGGGAACUGCAUUUCGAACUGGCAGACUAGAGUGUGAUAGAGGGUGGUAGAAUUUCAGGUGUAGCGGUGAAAUGCGUAGAGAUCUGAAGGAAUACCGAUGGCGAAGGCAGCCACCUGGGUCAACACUGACGCUCAUGUACGAAAGCGUGGGGAGCAAACGGGAUUAGAUACCCCGGUAGUCCACGCCGUAAACGAUGUCUACUAGAAGCUGGGGUCUUCGGACAACUUUUUCAAAGCUAACGCAUUAAGUAGACCGCCUGGGGAGUACGGCCGCAAGGUUAAAACUCAAAUGAAUUGACGGGGGCCCGCACAAGCGG